rnacentral:misc_RNA from 1 species
UUCAAAGUGAGAGAGAGCUACAAUAACUACAAAAUGAAUGCUCAAAAUGAGACCCAAGUGAAUUUCAAAUUCAAAUCUAGAAGCACAAGGAGACCUAGCUCCCUAUAAGCAGUUCAGGAGAGUUAAUUCUCCCCUAUAGAUCAAUACCUCCGUGGACCAUGGUCAUAAAAUGGAGCAGAAGGGCACUUGAAAGCUUGGUGACCCCUCCCACCGCAAUUAUUGCAAAUGACAAUGGCCACACAUUCGUUGCUGAAAUGGCCUGGCUGGCCACAAUUGCGACAAAUAACAUCAUUAAAAGGGCCUCCUACAUCUGAUGCCAAGCUCGAUUUGGGGCAUUGGCGGGCAACAUGACCUGAUAUGUUGCAAAUGUUGCAGACUGGCUCAUUGGGGCAAUCACGAGCAAGAUGACCGGUCUUACGACAAUUGUUGCAAGCCUUCUCAUUGGUGCAGUCAGCAGCAAUGUGACCUGGCUUGUAGCAAUUGUUGCAGGGCCUUGCAUCAUGGGCUGGAAGACUAGGAUUAUAACAAUCACGAGCAAGGUGACCCAUUUUACCACACAUAUGGCAGACUGGAUCAUUUGGGCAUUGGUUUGCAAGAUGUCCAGGCUCCUUACAAUUCCAACACAUAGUUGUUGAGUUGCAUUCAGCAGCAAUGUGGCUGAAACAAAAUAAUAUUUGAUAGAGGUAAUUAGAACUCUACAACAGAAAGCAGAUUGAUCAACAGACUGCAGCCCACCAAACCAUAUGUAAAUUCCAUUGCUCUUGAGCUGCAAAUGAAAGGUUUUGCAAAGUAAACAUGGAUAUAAUCAUCUCACCCAGGAAGUCCGCAGUUGUUGCAUACGGUCAUAUUUGGACAAUCUCGGGCAAAAUGCCCAGGUCGUUUGCAUUUAUUGCAUAGGUAGUCUUGCCUGUACUUACGAUGAUCCCUGGAAUAAGGUGCAUCACGAUAAGAUGCAUUGGUGCGAAACCUCUUAGCUCGAGGUGGGCUUCCACUUCUAUCCAGACUCAUGUCAAAAACCCUGUAAAUUUAUCAGGGUAAAUGGGAAACAGAACCCCCCCAAACAAACAAGAGAUCCAGAUAAUUCCAGCCUGCCAAUGUCACCACAAAAAUAAACCACCAAUAGUGAAACUACAUUUAUGACUAAUCAAUUUAACUUAAAGCACAAAACGCAAAGAAUCUAGAACCACUCUUGCAAACAUCAAAUAUCAUUAAAAGAAACAGCAAACCAUGGAAAGAGAGCAGGCAAAAGAGGAGAGGCAUAAAUAAAAGCACACGGUGCACAACAAGCUGUCAUGCAUGCAAUAAUAAAACAAAAAAAGGGGUAUAAAAGAAAAAACAAAAAAUUUGAAAGUAGAAAUUCAAGAAUACAAACCUCACUCGCUGACGCAACAGUUUGACUUAAUAUGGUUGUUUUUCUUUUAUAGAAACCAAAAAUACCAAUGAUCAGAUUAAAAAUGUCAAUUCAGAUUCUUGUUUCUUUCACAUAAUCAAUUUUAUGAGAAUGCAAAGACACCAAAACCACUACACAUGCACAUAGAAACACAUAGAAAAAUGAUAAUCCUUCCAGCAAGAAAACCAUUACUAAAUAAAAUGCGCCUCUUCACGAAAUGGAACUUGAUUAACAACUUUAUCUGAUCAACAAGUUUAUAUAACAAAUCCAAGCCAAUCUCACCACAACAUUAAACUAAUUAUUUUGUCACUAAAAGACACAAUCUUGGCGAUACAAAAGAAAAUCUUUUACACAAAUGAAAUCUGGGGAUUUCUCAUUUAGCUCAAAAAUAGGAGCUGUAUAAGUUCCUCUUGAAAAGCAAACUCACAAUAAAAAAAAUAAAUCACGACAGCUAUAAUAUUUUUAUUUCCUUUCCUUUCCCCAAUUUUCUCAGCAACCAAACAGAAUUAAAAGAAAAAAUAUAUAUAUUGAAAAGAAACUAGAAAUCAGACACCAUUCACAUUCACAUUAUUAUAUAAUAUAUAUGCAUGCAUACAAGUAGAGAGAAAAGGAAAAUUUACCUGAAGAUGAAACAGAGUGAGAGAAAAGAAACCUAGAUUAGGAAAUGUGGAUUUGUUUGAAGGAGAGGGCUUUUUAUGUACUGUUUGUUUGGAUUUGAUAAAUAAGGGCACGUUUCCUUUCAACGACAUCGUUUUGUG